UUGCACGGACAUUUGCACGGCGUCGACGGAGCGAGCCCGAGCCGUGGCUCGAGACGUCGCCGGCUUCCUGAUCCGUGGAUCAGAUCCGGUGCUUUCCGGUAGCAUCGGCAGACCAUGCAGUAAAUGCAGAAGAUGGGGCGCUGUGUGUGGGGGUGGGGCAGUGAAGGUGGAUCUUGCAUUCUCCCCAGGCGGGGAAAUCUCCUGCGGCGAACGGGAUUGCGUGGUCCAGCGAGUUCCCAGGUGUUCCGGCGGUCAUGGAGUUCUUGAUGCAGCCGAUAAACAGAACACUGCUAGAGGAGGUCAAUGAUAACAACGGCACCGUGGAUCCUGUUCGGUUCCCGGUCAUCGCGCCGGCGGAGGUUGAGAUGCUAGCACCGGCGGCUUCAAGUGCAGACGGCCAAAUCUGUCGUGAGGGCGCCGCUGGAGAGCCUGCAAGUGCAGAUAAGGCUCAAUGUUCAGAGUACUCCAUAGAGCAAGUGGAUCCAAAAACUCAGGGUGGACACAAAGAGUGCGUGUCGGUGCUGCCGUGCUAUUUAGAGCUCCUUGCCCGGACAGGGUCACAGCCCUGAAGAAGUCCGUUCUGAUUCGUGGUACAGGAUUGAUGCUUUUCCGGUAACUAUGCUAGCAGCCAAGUAAAUGCAAGCAUGGGUCGAUGGAGCAGCUGUCUCCUACCUCGCUAGCUGAUCCUUCUUUUCUCAAUAGCGGCGAUCCGGUGGAAACACUGUCUGUGAGAGGGCGCCUGCGGCUACCGGCAAAGAUGGAGUUCUUGAUGCAGUCGAUUAACAGGAGUAUGCAGAAGAACUGUUGUAGAGGAGGUGAAUGACAGCGACAUACCCAUGGAGCCCCUGAUGGCACCGCAUGGGGGCAAGCUGCCGGCCAUGACGGCAUCAAGUGCGGACAGGCAGAUAUGUGCGGCAGAGGCAGCGACUCGAGAUUCGACUCAGGCAUCCGAGCAAUCUAUAGAGCAGACCGACCCAAAAUCGUAUGCACUUUGUGAGGACUAAGUUUUCUGGCUAAUUAUAUAACUCUUGCAAACUUUGAGUAAGAAAAUGGCUGAUCCUGGGAUGCAGCAAAUUCGGCAGAAAUCUUGCAAAUUUGGAAGUGAUUUAACAAAGUUGGCGAUGCUUUCCAUGUAGUACGAUGUCAAGAUGCUCUUGGAACAAGAUCAUUGAUUUUGUUGUUUCUUGUCUUUGCCUUUGUACUACAUCAACUAUUCUGAGUUUUUAAUCGUUCCUGAAUGGUAUUAAAAAAAUGAGGAAAAGCAACUGAAAAUCUUCUUGGGCACGGGAAAGAUUACCAAUUAUCUCUGCAUUCAUGGAUGCAUUAUUAAUCUGUUUUUUUGGUUAACUAAUUAUGUAUUAACACUUUGAUAUACACCCAGGGUUAGGACUGGGGCUGCUGAGCUAGGCAGGGCACCGCCCUAAUAGGAUUUCAGCAAUGGAGAAAUCAAUACGGAGUUUUGCUGAAAACACUGGAGACAAUGUCAUUUUGGCGAAAUUAGGAACAAACUUCCAAACAUUGGGCGAAGCCUAUGAUUUUACAAUCUGUAUUCAUGGAAGAAAGGAUGGGCAUUAGGUACGGAAAGAGGAAAAACGUGAAUAGGACGAAAUGCAUGCAAAAAAUAGUCUGCAGAUGCGCGUGGAAGCCGAUAGUGGAGAACACACACUCUUGCCACUGUGACUGCCUUGCUCUCAUAAGACUGCUGCGUUUCAAAGACAACAGUUGGUACAUAGCCGAGCACCCUGAGGAGCACAACCAUAUGUUAUCUCCCACCUAUGGGCAGACAAUAAAUACACAGGCAGUCACACAAACAUAUCGAUGUGUACAAAAAUGAAGUUGCAGAAAUAAGGCACUGCCUUGGAUUAGAACACAGGUUGGCUGAGAAUGGAGAUGGUGUGAACCAGAUUCAGCCACAAGGUGCUAUGGUGGUUAUGGGAGACAAAGUGCAUAGUGUUAUGGGAAACGAUGAUAACAAUGCAGCUAAUGAGUCCAGGAAUAUGAAGGCCACCGUCAGAACAACUGCCGUAAAGCAGCCGAACUCGGACUGAAUAAUUGAUGGGAUUGUUUAGUUAGUUUCAGCGUACUACGUUUCUGCCCAGUUUAAGUUAUGCUAUAUCUGAAUAAUUAGAACUUGUCUGUAAACCAACUGGACAAAAUAAUUUGUUUCUUCAUUCGCUCGUGAGCACUCUGACACUGAAAAUGGUUGAGCUUUCUUUGAACAUGUGCAUGUGGCCAUGUGCUGA